CCUACGGGGGGCAGCAGUUUGGAAUUUUGGACAAUGGGCGAAAGCCUGAUCCAGCGACGCCGCGUGAACGAAGAAGGCCUUCGGGUUGUAAAGUUCUUUUGCCUGGGAACAAUUUUUGAGUGUACCAGGAGAAUAAGAGGUUGCUAACUCUGUGCCAGCAGCAGCGGUAAUACAGAGACCUCAAGCGUUAUCCGGAAUCAUUGGGCGUAAAGCGUACCGAUCGGUGGUUUUGAAAGUCAGAGGUGAAAUCACGAAGCUUAACUUCGUGACUGUCCUUUGAAACUUCAGAACUAGAGGGGCAAAGAGGAGACUGGAACAAACGGUGUAGUAGUGAAAUGCGUUGAUAUCGUUUGGAACACCAAUAGCGAAGGCAGGUCUCUGGGUGCCUCCUGACACUGCUAGGACGAGAGCGUGGGGAGCGAAUGGGAUUAGAUACCCUA
rnacentral:rRNA from 1 species